rnacentral:tRNA from 1 species
AGGCAAGUGGCUCAACUGGUAGAGUGGCGGUUUCCAAAACCGUUGGUUGGGGGUUCGAGUCCCUCCUUGCCUG